rnacentral:rRNA from 1 species
UACGAAGGGUGCAAGCGUUACUCGGAAUUACUGGGCGUAAAGCGUGCGUAGGUGGUUUGUUAAGUCUGUUGUGAAAGCCCCGGGCUCAACCUGGGAAUGGCAAUGGAUACUGGCAAGCUAGAGUGCGGUAGAGGGUAGUGGAAUUCCCGGUGUAGCGGUGAAAUGCGUAGAGAUCGGGAGGAACACCAGUGACGAAGGCGGCUACCUGGACCAGCACUGACACUGAGGCACGAAAGCGUGGGGAGCAAACAGG